UAGGGAAUCUUCCGCAAUGGGCGAAAGCCUGACGGAGCAACGCCGCGUGAGUGAUGAAGGUCUUCGGAUCGUAAAACUCUGUUAUUAGGGAAGAACAAAUGUGUAAGUAACUAUGCACGUCUUGACGGUACCUAAUCAGAAAGCCACGGCUAACUACGUGCCAGCAGCCGCGGUAAUACGUAGGUGGCAAGCGUUAUCCGGAAUUAUUGGGCGUAAAGCGCGCGUAGGCGGUUUUUUAAGUCUGAUGUGAAAGCCCACGGCUCAACCGUGGAGGGACAUUGGAAACUGGAAAACUUGAGUGCAGAAGAGGAAAGUGGAAUUCCAUGUGUAGCGGUGAAAUGCGCAGAGAUAUGGAGGAACACCAGUGGCGAAGGCGACUUUCUGGUCUGUAACUGACGCUGAUGUGCGAAAGCGUGGGGAUCAAACAGG
rnacentral:rRNA from 1 species